rnacentral:rRNA from 1 species
AAGAACCUGAAACCGUGUACGUACAAGCAGUGGGAGCCUCUUUUAUGGGGUGACUGCGUACCUUUUGUAUAAUGGGUCAGCGACUUAUAUUCUGUAGCAAGGUUAACCGAAUAGGGGAGCCGAAGGGAAACCGAGUCUUAACUGGGCGUUAAGUUGCAGGGUAUAGACCCGAAACCCGGUGAUCUAGCCAUGGGCAGGUUGAAGGUUGGGUAACACUAACUGGAGGACCGAACCGACUAAUGUUGAAAAAUUAGCGGAUGACUUGUGGCUGGGGGUGAAAGGCCAAUCAAACCGGGAGAUAGCUGGUUCUCCCCGAAAGCUAUUUAGGUAGCGCCUCGUGAAUUCAUCUCCGGGGGUAGAGCACUGUUUCGGCAAGGGGGUCAUCCCGACUUACCAACCCGAUGCAAACUGCGAAUACCGGAGAAUGUUAUCACGGGAGACACACGGCGGGUGCUAACGUCCGUCGUGAAGAGGGAAACAACCCAGACCGCCAGCUAAGGUCCCAAAGUCAUGGUUAAGUGGGAAACGAUGUGGGAAGGCCCAGACAGCCAGGAUGUUGGCUUAGAAGCAGCCAUCAUUUAAAGAAAGCGUAAUAGCUCACUGGUCGAGUCGGCCUGCGCGGAAGAUGUAACGGGGCUAAACCAUGCACCGAAGCUGCGGCAGCGACGCUGAUGCGUUGUUGGGUAGGGGAGCGUUCUGUAAGCCUGUGAAGGUGUGCUGUGAGGCAUGCUGGAGGUAUCAGAAGUGCGAAUGCUGACAUAAGUAACGAUAAAGCGGGUGAAAAGCCCGCUCGCCGGAAGACCAAGGGUUCCUGUCCAACGUUAAUCGGGGCAGGGUGAGUCGACCCCUAAGGCGAGGCCGAAAGGCGUAGUCGAUGGGAAACAGGUUAAUAUUCCUGUACUUGGUGUUACUGCGAAGGGGGGACGGAGAAGGCUAUGUUGGCCGGGCGACGGUUGUCCCGGUUUAAGCGUGUAGGCUGGUUUUCCAGGCAAAUCCGGAAAAUCAAGGCUGAGGCGUGAUGACGAGGCACUACGGUGCUGAAGCAACAAAUGCCCUGCUUCCAGGAAAAGCCUCUAAGCAUCAGGUAACAUCAAAUCGUACCCCAAACCGACACAGGUGGUCAGGUAGAGAAUACCAAGGCGCUUGAGAGAACUCGGGUGAAGGAACUAGGCAAAAUGGUGCCGUAACUUCGGGAGAA